UAAGGAGACUGGGUAAUCGCACUGAAAAAUUAUUCAAUUUUUUAGUGAGGAAAGUCCAGACAGCAGAAAGCAGGGUGUCCCGACUAAUACCGGGAUGUCCCGCCCUAAAGGCGGGGCCAAGAUAGGGCCACAGAGACGAGUGAUGUGAAACGCCCUCCUACGCGUAAAGCUACGGAGGGGUCCCCCCGAAGCCCGUAUGGGCGAAGGGGGAAGGCAACCCUCCCCGCUGCAAUCUCCGAAAGACCCGUUUACCCCGCUUAGCGGGGCAAGAGGAUGCUUUCCUGAGGGUCGAGGUUUGAGAGCAUUAGAUUGAUGAUUGCCUUAACCCCUGACUUGAUCAGGGGCAAGACAGAAUCUGGCUUACGGGUCUCCUUAAGGA
rnacentral:RNase_P_RNA from 1 species